GGGCCGGUAGCUCAGUCGGCAGAGCGGCGGAUUCUUACCCCGCAGGUCCCGAGUUCAACCCUCGGUCGGCUCG
rnacentral:tRNA from 1 species